CGAAAGCCAGGGGAGCGAAAGGGAUUAGAUACCCCUGUAGUCCUGGCCGUAAACGAUGAACACUAGGUGUCGGGGGAAUCGACCCCCUCGGUGUCGUAGCCAACGCGUUAAGUGUUCCGCCUGGGGAGUACGCACGCAAGUGUGAAACUCAAAGGAAUUGACGGGGGCCCGCACAAGCGGUGGAGUAUGUGGUUUAAUUCGAUGCAACGCGAAGAACCUUACCAGGGUUUGACAUCCUGCGAAUUCCUUGGAAACGAGGGAGUGCCUUCGGGAGCGCAGAGACAGGUGGUGCAUGGCUGUCGUCAGCUCGUGUCGUGAGAUGUUGGGUUAAGUCCCGCAACGAGCGCAACCCACGUCGUUAGUUGCCAGCAUUCAGUUGGGCACUCUAGCGAGACCGCCGGUGAUAAACCGGAGGAAGGUGUGGAUGACGUCAAGUCAUCAUGCCCCUUACAUCCUGGGCUACACACGUACUACAAUGCUACGGACAAAGGGCAGCAAGCUCGCGAGAGUUAGCAAAUCCCAUAAACCGUGGCUCAGUUCAGAUCGUAGGCUGCAACUCGCCUACGUGAAGGAGGAAUCGCUAGUAAUCGCAGGUCAGCAUACUGCGGUGAAUACGUUCCCGGGCCUUGUACACACCGCCCGUCACACCAUGGAAGUUGGCCACGCCCGAAGUCGUUACUCCAACCCUUGUGGAGGAGGACGCCGAAGGUGGGGCUGAUGACUGGGGUGAA
rnacentral:rRNA from 1 species